rnacentral:rRNA from 1 species
ACUCCUACGGGAGGCAGCAGUAGGGAAUUUUCCGCAAUGGAACGAAAGUCUGACGGAGCAAUGCCGCGUGAGUGAUGAAGGUUUUCGAAUCGUAAAGCUCUGUUGUAAGGGAAGAAUAGCAGUAGUAGGAAAUGACUACUUGUGUGACGGUACCUUACCAGAAAAGCCACGGCUAACUACGUGCCAGCAGCCGCGGUAAUACGUAGGUGGCAAGCGUUAUCCGGAAUUAUUGGGCGUAAAAGCGCAUGUAGGCGGCUCUUUAAGUCUGAUGUGAAAAGCCUGUGGCUCAACCACAGAAUUGCAUUGGAUACUGGAGAGCUAGAAUCUUGGAGAGGUAAGUGGAAUUUCAUGUGUAGCGGUGGAAUGCGUAGAUAUAUGAAGGAACACCAAUGGCGAAGGCAGCUUACUGGACAAGUAUUGACGCUGAGAUGCGAAAGUGUGGUAGCAAACAGGAUUAGAUACCCCGGUAGGCUCUG